UGGCGCAAUUGGUUAGCGCGUCUGACUGUUAAUCAGGAGGUUGGAAGUUCGAGCCUUNN
rnacentral:tRNA from 1 species